UGAAUACGAGACGCUAAGGCGUCGAAGUAGUGUAUGUCAUACUUCCAAGAAAAGCUUGCACUGUCAUAAGUAAAAAAUGCCUGUACCAUAACCGACACAGGUGGGUAGGUAGAGUAUACUAAGGGGCGCGAGAUAACUCUCUCUAAGGAACUCGGCAAAAUAACUCCGUAACUUCGGGAGAAGGAGUACCUUAUUCUAUAAGGUUGCAAUAACAAGAUCCAAGCAACUGUUUAUCAAAAACACAGGUCUCCGCUAAGUCGUAAGACGAUGUAUGGGGGCUGACGCCUGCCCAGUGCCAGAAGGUUAAAGAAGUCGGUUAGCAUUAGCGAAGCUGGUAACUGAAGCCCUGGUGAACGGCGGCCGUAACAAUAACGGUCCUAAGGUAGCGAAAUUCCUUGUCGGGUAAGUUCCGACCCGCACGAAAGGCGUAAUGAUUUGGAUACUGUCUCGGAGAGGGGCUCGGUGAAAUAGACUUGUCUGUGAAGAUGCGGACUACCUGCACCAGGACAGAAAGACCCUAUGAAGCUUUACUGUAACUUGAAGUUGAAAUUGGACUUUAUUCGCGCAGUAUAGGUGGGAGGUGUUGAUUAUAAUCUUGCGGGAUUAUUGGAGCCAUCAGUGAGAUACCACUCUUGUAAUGUUAGAUUUCUAACUUUGAAUCAUUAUCUGGUCAAAGGACAGUUUCAGGCGGGCAGUUUGACUGGGGCGGUCGCCUCCCAAACGGUAACGGAGGCGUACAAAGGUUUCCUCUGAACGGGUAGAAAUCGUAUCUAGAGUGUAAAGGCAUAAGGAAGCUUGACUGUGAGACCUACAAGUCGAACAGGGACGAAAGUCGGUCUUAGUGAUCUGACGGUACUGAGUGGAAAGGCCGUCACUCAACGGAUAAAGUUACUCUAAGGAUAACAGGCUGAUCUCCCCCAAGAGUUCACAUCGACGGGGAGGUUUGGCACCUUGAUGUCGGCUCAUCGCAUCCUGGGGCGGUAGUACGUCCCAAGGGUUGGGCUGUUCGCCCAUGAAAGCGGUACGCGAGCUGGGUUCAGAACGUCGUGAGACAGUUCGGUCCAUAUCCGGUGUAGGCGUUAGAAUAUUGAGAGGAGCCUUCUUUAGUACGAGAGGACCGAGAAGGACAUACCUCUGGUGUACCAGUUAUCGUGCCAACGGUAAACGCUGGGUAGCUAUGUAUGGAGUGGAUAACCGCUGAAAGCAUCUAAGUGGGAAGCCCACCUCAAGAUAAGUAUUCUCAUC
rnacentral:rRNA from 1 species